rnacentral:rRNA from 1 species
GAUGAACGCUGGCGGCGUGCCUAAUACAUGCAAGUCGAGCGAACAGAUGAGGAGCUUGCUCCUCUGACGUUAGCGGCGGACGGGUGAGUAACACGUGGAUAACCUACCUAUAAGACUGGGAUAACUUCGGGAAACCGGAGCUAAUACCGGAUAAUAUAUUGAACCUCAUGGUUCAAUAGUGAAAGACGGUUUUGCUGUCACUUAUAGAUGGAUCCGCGCCUCAUUAGCUAGUUGGUAAGGUAACGGCUUACCAAGGCAACGAUGCGUAGCCGACCUGAGAGGGUGAUGGGCCACACUGGAACUGGGACACGGUCCAGACUCCUACGGGAGGCAGCAGUAGGGAAUCUUCCGCAAUGGGAGAAAGCCUGACGGAGCAACGCCGCGUGAGUGAUGAAGGUCUUCGGAUCGUAAAACUCUGUUAUUAGGGAAGAACAAAUGUGUAAGUAACUAUGCACGUCUUGACGGUACCUAAUCAGAAAGCCACGGCUAACUACGUG